GCCUAUGUAGCUUAAGGGUUAAAGCUGUUGCUUGAAGCGCAAUGUAUAUGAGUUCGAGUCUCAUCGUGGGCA
rnacentral:tRNA from 1 species